ACUCAUAUGACUUACAUUCCAUCCCUUUGAUCGUCUUUGUCACUCUCCUGUGGACCGUUUCCAGUUUCUCUACCUCCUUUCUAUACAUUGGUGACCAAAACUGGACACAGUACUCCAGCUGAGACUUACCAGUGCAGAGCAGAG